AAUAAGUGCAGUUUUGCACUAUUCACGUUCAACAUUUGACCGUUUAUCUUAUUUGAAAAUUUUUUAUGAUUAGUAUUUUUGUUGCUAUUAGAUGAUAAAACAUGAAUAGUAAUAAAUAUUUUUAAAUUUUUCAUAAAUUUUUCAAAUAAGACGGACGGUCAAACAUUGGGCACGGAUAUCCAUGGCUGCAUUUAUU
rnacentral:pre_miRNA from 1 species